rnacentral:rRNA from 1 species
AUUGAACGCUGGCGGCAGGCCUAACACAUGCAAGUCGAGCGGAUGAAGGGAGCUUGCUCCUGGAUUCAGCGGCGGACGGGUGAGUAAUGCCUAGGAAUCUGCCUGGUAGUGGGGGAUAACGUCCGGAAACGGGCGCUAAUACCGCAUACGUCCUGAGGGAGAAAGUGGGGGAUCUUCGGACCUCACGCUAUCAGAUGAGCCUAGGUCGGAUUAGCUAGUUUGUGGGGUAAAGGCCUACCAAGGCGACGAUCCGUAACUGGUCUGAGAGGAUGAUCAGUCACACUGGAACUGAGACACGGUCCAGACUCCUACGGGAGGCAGCAGUGGGGAAUAUUGGACAAUGGGCGAAAGCCUGAUCCAGCCAUGCCGCGUGUGUGAAGAAGGUCUUCGGAUUGUAAAGCACUUUAAGUUGGGAGGAAGGGCAGUAAGUUAAUACCUUGCUGUUUUGACGUUACCAACAGAAUAAGCACCGGCUAACUUCGUG